rnacentral:rRNA from 1 species
GACGGAGGAUGCAAGUGUUAUCCGGAAUCACUGGGCGUAAAGCGUCUGUAGGUGGUUCGAAAAGUCCACUGUUAAAAAUUGAAGCUUAACUUCAAAGAUGCCGUGGAAACUUUCAAACUAGAGUGUGGUAGGGGUAGAGGGAAUUUCCAGUAGAGCGGUGAAAUGCGUAGAUAUUGGAAAGACCACCGAUGGCGAAGGCACUCUACUGGGCCAUUACUGACACUGAGAGACGAAAGCUAGGGGAGCAAAUGGG